CCUGGUUGGGAGCCGUGGACUUUGGGGGCAGGAGCACCCCCUCCCAGUACCUUGACAAUUACCCCCUUUCUCUUCUGAGUCUCAAACCUGCCUGUCCUGCACCCUGGCCUGUCCUCUGGAGGUUAUCUGAUGAGGGCCUAUUCUAAGGAGUCUUCCCCUGGAUCCCACCUCACCCCUCCAGCUCCCGCUUCACCAUGAGCCCAUGGAGACAUGAGCCCCAGGACAGCUCUUUCUCUGGUCUCUCUUGCAGCGAGAAGUACCUGUGGGCACACUGGAGCACAGGCCUUGAUGUCUGCAGUGCUCCGGGCAAAAGGACAAAUGGAGGCCCACACACCAGAAUCUAAAUAUUAAACAACCAUAAAUCAAGCUGCUAAUAAAAUGUGUUCCAUCCUCCUACUGAACAAAUAAGCUUUCAUAGCAGUAAAAACAUCUGUAAAUCUAUGGUUUUUAUGUCUGAAAGUCCGCAGAUAUCCAAAAUGAUGGAACUUAAUAAUUAUCACUCAUGUCCAGGUGUUCAGUGACCUGAGGUUUAAGUGAGAGAACGAAGACUUGCCUGAUGCCUAAGACAUUCUGUA